rnacentral:rRNA from 1 species
GAUGAACGCUGGCGGCGUGCCUAAUACAUGCAAGUCGAGCGAACAGACGAGGAGCUUGCUCCUCUGACGUUAGCGGCGGACGGGUGAGUAACACGUGGAUAACCUACCUAUAAGACUGGGAUAACUUCGGGAAACCGGAGCUAAUACCGGAUAAUAUAUUGAACCGCAUGGUUCAAUAGUGAAAGACGGUUUUGCUGUCACUUAUAGAUGGAUCCGCGCCGCAUUAGCUAGUUGGUAAGGUAACGGCUUACCAAGGCAACGAUGCGUAGCCGACCUGAGAGGGUGAUCGGCCACACUGGAACUGAGACACGGUCCAGACUCCUACGGGAGGCAGCAGUAGGGAAUCUUCCGCAAAGGGCGAAAGCCUGACGGAGCAACGCCGCGUGAGUGAUGAAGGUCUUCGGAUCGUAAAACUCUGUUAUUAGGGAAGAACAAAUGUGUAAGUAACUCUGCACGUCUUGACGGUACCUAAUCAGAAAGCCACGGCUAACUUCGUG